rnacentral:lncRNA from 1 species
UGUGUGUGCAUGCCUUUCUGAUUUUCCCCAAAUCAUAUUUCAUACAGCCACUGCUACACUGCAAUAAUCCAGGCUGUUCUGGAUUUGUACAUGUAGAAUCACAUUUUCAUACUCGCCUAUCUUUAGAAUUAUAAAGGAUUACUUAACCCACUUCACUAGUAUUAUCCAGUAUGAGUAUUACCUCUGCCCUGUCCUGGGGUAUAGAUAUCGAGUCCUUUGCCGAACUGUUCUUCUUUCAGAACUGUAAGCACCGAUGUCCAGGUCACAAUGGGUUGGUGGCAAUGCAGGCCAGAGAUAUAACACCUGAUGACACCAAGCCUGAGCUUGGGACACCAUCUGAGCCUUCAGCAGCUCUGCAUCAGCCAUGCAGACUCCAGAUGCCAGGGCUAUCUUCCCCCUAGAAGAGCGCCCGGAUGGCACCAUUGAUGUGAACAAUGCAGCCCCUCCCCCCGGUACAGGGGUCUGACACAGACUGCAGAAGUUCACCCCCAUCUCUUGGUCUCUGAGCACAACAUUGAGGCUCUGAUCCUGAGGAAGCACUCUCGGUAUCUCGUCAGAGGUAUUUACAGUAUUUUUAAAUUUGUCUUGAAUUUGCCCUUAA